UCGAGAAUCUUUAGCAAUGGGCGAAAGCCUGACUAUGCGACACCGCGUGAGGGACGAAGGUCUUCGGAUCGUAAACCUCUUUUAGCAGGGAAGAAAAUACUUAACUAAAUAUGUUAAGGACUGACGGUACCUGCAGAAUAAGCAACGGCUAACUCCGUGCCAGCAGCCGCGGUAAUACGGGGGUUGCAAGCGUUACUCGGAUUCAUUGGGUGUAAAGGGCAAGUAGGUGGUUCGACAAGUGAGGGGUGAAAUCCCGCUACUCAAUAGCGGAACUGCCUUUCAAACUAUCGGGCUUGAGGUUGGGAGAAGAGAAUGGAAUUCCCGGUGUAAGGGUGAAAUCUGUUGAUAUCGGGAAGAACACCAGUGGCGAAAGCGAUUCUCUAGACCAAUCCUGACACUGAAUUGCGAAAGCUAGGGGAGCAAACAGG
rnacentral:rRNA from 1 species